UCUCUUUAUUCGUACGCCUCCCGUCUUCGUGGUGGGCGCACUGUCGCUGUCGGGGCCGGCCUCGUACUAUUAAACUCCUCCCAAAGUCAGAUCUAUGAGUCCUCUGUUUCAACAAGCUGGAUUAACCUGAAAAUUGACGGUUGUUCAGAACACAAACGCAUAAAAAUCGCCACUAUAGCUUUCUCCCCCCAAAAGAAAAUCACAGUUGCAGUCACUCAUACACUCGAAUCACCCAACAGCAUCACCUGAAUCAGACAUUUCACCGACAACUCUGCUGCAGCCUGCAGCAGAUAGAGGGUACGCACAUCCAAGAUAGUUUUACUGUUUGUCCCUGAUCAGCUCAGUUCCAGCCAGUAUUCCUUGCUCUGUGCCACGUUGCUCCAAGCAGCGGCAGCAGCAGCUCAGCUGCCGCAGCUAGCAGCUUGCCGUGCUCUGCUCCACAGGCUACAGCGGCAGCGGCAACCAAAAGGCAGCUCCUUUCUGUUCCAGCUACUACUACUGAGCCAAGAAAUGGUGGCCUGAGCUCCGAAUCCUUCGCGGCUGGCCCAACUACCGGAUCUCCCGGCCUCCCUCUCGGCUCUCGCGUCGCCGGGGGAUUGGCGGGGGGGGGGG
rnacentral:lncRNA from 1 species